rfam:Gossypium raimondii Chr13_contig_661, whole genome shotgun sequence.
AAUCUAUAGUGUGGGCAUUUUUGAAUUAGUGUCUUAAAUCGCUCCAUGCUUCGUGAAAGGUUUCCCUUUUGAACUGUUUGAACAUUGAAAUUUCCCUUCUUAGCU